UUGAACGCUGGCGGCAUGCCUUACACAUGCAAGUCGAACGGUAGAGUAGCAAUACUCGAGAGUGGCGAACGGGUGAGUAAUAUAUCGGAACGUGCCCAGUCGUGGGGGAUAACGUAGAGAAAUUUACGCUAAUACCGCAUACGAUCUGAGGAUGAAAGCGGGGGACCGUAAGGCCUCGCGCGAUCGGAGCGGCCGAUGUCAGAUUAGGUAGUUGGUGGGGUAAAGGCUCACCAAGCCGACGAUCUGUAGCUGGUCUGAGAGGACGACCAGCCACACUGGGACUGAGACACGGCGCAGACUCCUACGGGAGGCAGCAGUGGGGAAUUUUGGACAAUGGGCGCAAGCCUGAUCCAGCAAUGCCGCGUGCAGGAAGAAGGCCUUCGGGUUGUAAACUGCUUUUGUACGGAGCGAAAAGGCUCUCUCUAAUACAGGGGGCUCAUGACGGUACCGUAAGAAUAAGCACCGGCUAACUACGU
rnacentral:rRNA from 1 species